rnacentral:rRNA from 1 species
CCUACGGGUGGCAGCAGUGAGGAAUAUUGGUCAAUGGGCGGGAGCCUGAACCAGCCAAGCCGCGUGAGGGAAGAAGGUACAGCGUAUCGUAAACCUCUUUUGUCAGGGAACAAAGGCGGGGACUAGUCCCCGGAUGAGGGUACCUGAAGAAAAAGCAUCGGCUAACUCCGUGCCAGCAGCCGCGGUAAUACGGAGGGGGCUAGCGUUAUCCGGAAUUACUGGGCGUAAAGGGUGCGUAGGUGGUUUCUUAAGUCAGAGGUGAAAGGCUACGGCUCAACCGUAGUAAGCCUUUGAAACUGGGGAACUUGAGUGCAGGAGAGGAGAGUGGAAUUCCUAGUGUAGCGGUGAAAUGCGUAGAUAUUAGGAGGAACACCAGUUGCGAAGGCGGCUCUCUGGACUGUAACUGACACUGAGGCACGAAAGCGUGGGGAGCAAACAGGAUUAGAUACCCCAGUAGUC